GGCAGCGCGGGGGCAACCCUGGCGGCGAGCGGCGAACGGGUGAGUAACAUAUCGGAACGUACCCCGUCGUGGGGGAUAACACAGCGAAAGCUGUGCUAAUACCGCAUACGACCUGAGGGUGAAAGCGGGGGACCGUAAGGCCUCGCGCGAUGGGAGCGGCCGAUAUCGGAUUAGCUUGUUGGUGAGGUAAAGGCUCACCAAGGCGACGAUCCGUAGCUGGUCUGAGAGGACGACCAGCCACACUGGAACUGAGACACGGUCCAGACUCCUACGGGAGGCAGCAGUGGGGAAUUUUGGACAAUGGGGGCAACCCUGAUCCAGCCAUUCCGCGUGAGUGAAGAAGGCCUUCGGGUUGUAAAGCUCUUUCAGCAGGAACGAAACGGUGGCCCCUAAUACGGGCUACUAAUGACGGUACCUGAAGAAGAAGCACCGGCUAACUACGUGCCAGCAGCCGCGGUAAUACGUAGGGUGCGAGCGUUAAUCGGAAUUACUGGGCGUAAAGCGUGCGCAGGCGGUUAUGUAAGACAGGUGUGAAAUCCCCGGGCUCAACCUGGGAACUGCGCUUGUGACUGCAUAACUCGAGUGUGGCAGAGGGGGGUGGAAUUCCACGUGUAGCAGUGAAAUGCGUAGAGAUGUGGAGGAACACCGAUGGCGAAGGCAGCCCCCUGGGUCAACACUGACGCUCAUGCACGAAAGCGUGGGGAGCAAACAGGAUUAGAUACCCUGGUAGUCCACGCCCUAAACGAUGCGAACUAGGUGUUGGGGAAGGAGACUUUCUUAGUACCGCAGCUAACGCGUGAA
rnacentral:rRNA from 1 species